GACAGAGGGUGCAAACGUUGCUCGGAAUCACUGGGCGUAAAGGGUGCGUAGGCGGGAAUGUAAGUCGGGGGUGAAAUCCCGGGGCUCAACCUCGGAAUUGCCUUUGAUACUGUCUGUCUUCGAGUUCGGGAGAGGUUGGCGGAAUUCCUAGUGUAGAGGUGAAAUUCGUAGAUAUUAGGAAGAACACCAGUGGCGAAGGCGGCCAUCUGGCUCGGUACUGACGCUCAGGUUCGAAAGCGUGGGGAGCAAACAGG
rnacentral:rRNA from 1 species